GACGAACGCUGGCGGCGUGCUUAACACAUGCCAGUCGAACGGAAAGGCCCUGCUUUUGUGGGGUGCUCGAGUGGCGAACGGGUGAGUAACACGUGAGUAACCUGCCCUUGACUUUGGGAUAACUUCAGGAAACUGGGGCUAAUACCGGAUAGGAGCUCCUGCUGCAUGGUGGGGGUUGGAAAGUUUCGGCGGUUGGGGAUGGACUCGCGGCUUAUCAGCUUGCUGGUGGGGUAGUGGCUUACCAAGGCAUUGACGGGUAGGCGGCCUGGGAGGGUGACCGGCCACAUUGGGACUGAGGUACGGCCCAGACUCCUACGGGAGGCAGCAGUGGGGAAUAUUGCACAAUGGGCGGAAGCGUGAUGCAGCAACGCCGCGUGCGGGAUGACGGCCUUCGGGUUGUAAACCGCUUUCGCCUGUGACGAAGCGUGAGUGACGGUAAUGGGUAAAGAAGCACCGGCUAACUACGUG
rnacentral:rRNA from 1 species